rnacentral:rRNA from 1 species
UGAGCAACCUGCCCUUGACUCUGGAAUAACAGUUGGAAACAGCUGCUAAUACCGGAUAUGACCUCUGACGACAUCGUCUGGAGGUGGAAAGCUCUGGCGGUCAAGGAUGGGCUCGCGGCCUAUCAGCUUGUUGGUGAGGUAACGGCUCACCAAGGCUUCGACGGGUAGCCGGCCCGAGAGGGCGACCGGCCACACUGGGACUGAGACACGGCCCAAACUCCUACGGGAGCAG